CUCUACUUCAGCAUUAACUGGCACCUUGCUGCACCAAAUCUUUCAGGCUGGGCUUUUAAGGGAGAAUCCCACAAUAGAGCCGCUUCAGGAAUUUGCAAAGAGUGUUAUUCAAAAAAACAUUCAAGGCAUGUAUGCAUGUGAAGUACAGGAAAAAGAUAUGUGUGAAACCUUGAAUGAUACAAUUCCAAUGAUCUGCAAUUGGAUAAAAUAUUUCCGGGACUCUCAAAUUUCCAAUGCACCUACAGUUGAUAAGCUUAAUGAGCUUAAAUCAUUUAAAGAAGUGUUUCUACAACGAUUUUCAAGAGAUGGCAUUUCAAGAGGGAACAUUUCAACUAGUU